rnacentral:pre_miRNA from 1 species
AAAGACUGCAGUUUUGGACUAUUUAUGUUCAACGUUUGUCCGUCUAUAUUAUUUUUUAAAAAAAUUAUGAUUAGUUAAUGAUAAAAUAUAAAUAUUACUUUAUAUGUGACUAUUUUUUUUAAUUUUUUUUAAUUUUUUUUAAACAAGACGAACGAUUAAACGUUGAACACGAAAACUCACAACUACGUACUUAAA